UUUUGUUGGUCUUUCUGUGUCAAAUCAAAUGGACUUUUGUUGGUCCUAAUGCGGCACAUCAGAUGGUUUCUUUUGGUCCUAAUGUGUGACACCAUCCGGAGAAUUUGAUUUAGUUUUGUUCCAAAUGAUGUUCCUGAAGCUUUGUGCUUCCUCUCAUAAAACAAUAGAAAAGAUCAGUAAUGACUCAUCUUUCAGAAUCAGUGUUUUGUUGAUCUGGCUCUGUUUUGCUGAUGCUGCUGAUGCUGUUGGAAAUAAUAUUUUUCCAGCUCCGAAACUGAUAUGUUUUGUGUUUGUGCGUGUGUGUACACAUGCACGAGUGCUUAUAUGUGUGUGUGCAUGUUUGUGUGUGUGUGUAUUUACACUAUGUGUGUGAUGUACAUUUGUUAGACACUUGGAGUUGUAUUGUUCAAGGGGACCUGCUCUGCUCUGGAAGCACUCCUGCUUCCUCUGCUAUCACUGGGAAAUUGGGGCCUGUAUUGUACCUUGGUGGGAAAUAACAUCAGACAGAAAACCCAUUUUGUUUCUACCCCUGAGAGCUCUCUCUCCUGCAUCAGCUACAGAGGUGCUUGGUGCGGAGGUAGGUUUGUUUGACUCCUUUACGAGGGGCCAUUUACUAAUGUAUUUUAUCGCCGUAAUACUGUGGGAUUCUAAUUACACUGAUUUGUCUCUUACUUCAAAGCUUGUGCUGAUUGUACUCAUUAGAUCGAAAUUGAACUGGGAUUUAUUAAAUGGGCAUCACAUCGCCCACAGUUCAUUCUGAGAGAAUGAAGGCAACACUUGUGAGCUGUGUUUUACCUUUUAUUUAUUCUUGAAAUAGCCUGUUGUAUUACUAGUAGUAAUAAUUUCGAUCAUCUCAGUCAAGCCAUAGAAGUACAUUAUUAUCAAUGGUUUGUUAAUACUUGGCAAGUUAUUUUCCAUUCAUUUUAAAUGUGAGAAUAGGCAUUGGUAAUAGACUGAAUUCAGUCAACUCUUUGCCCAUCAGAUCUUUUCCCUGUUCGGUCAUUCACAGCUUUGGUGAAACAUUGUUGUAUAAGGUUUUAUAAGCCCACCAGGGGUAUGAGUACCAUGUACACUAGGACUGAUUUGAAUUAUUUGUGUACCUUGGCUAUUCCGCUCCUACUCUGCAUGGGCUCACAGAGAGAGAGUUGUUGUGGGUGUUAAAUGGUUGUCAUUAAACUGCAAGCCCAUAGUACUAUAUAAAGCCUAUGUAAUUACCACAGUAUUAAUCUAUCUAUAUUCCACCAUUUAACAGAGGAAAUCUCCGCACUGUCAUGGCAAUUUUUGCUCACAGGUAAAUGUCAAAACAUUAACCUUGAGUGGGUGAAUGCUAUGACAUGAUAAAUCGGGCCAUGCUCCACCAUUAUUUCCAACCUCUGUAAUCUGGUAAACAGAGGAAAGGUGGUAGUUUAGUAGAGCAUUCUGCUUUCCUCUGAAACUAUGUGUACUGGGUUCAUUCGUACUGCACCAGUAUACAUGAGGCAUUGGAAUAACAACAUAUGAUCUAAGAGACCAUUUUUAAUUCAGCAAAACAAAGGUAAUUUGUGAUUUAGAUAAAGACAUUCAUUAAAGAUCUAACGUUAGCAAUAGAUUAUUUUGAAUUUAAGAUUCAUUUCGAUGAAGAUCAAAGACAUUGCAUGCAUUACAGUUGAAGGUGUAUUCAGAUCAGUGAGGAGGGACGGUCAGAGACCAUGACAGAUGGAGGUGUGUUCAGAUCAGUGAGGAGGGCUGGUCAGAGACCAUGACAGAUGGAGGUGUGUUCAGAUCAGUGAGGAAGGACGGUCAGAGACCAUGACAAAUGGAGGUGUGUUCAGAUCAGUGAGGAGGGCUGGUCAGAGACCAUGACAGAUGGAGGUGUGUUCAGAUCAGUGAGGAGGGACGGUCAGAGACCAUGACAGAUGGAGGUGUAUUCAGAUAAGUGAUGAUGAAAGACCACGGAUGCCAGAGGCUUUGUUGACAAUGUGUUAUUGCUACUGAUUUGUAAUCUUCUAUUUUAGCACUGUAUCACCUUCCUGCACGGUCUCUUUUAAACAUGUUUCAAAAUGGCACUGUCUAUACAGUAAUUGGUAUAUUGGGAGGCCCCUCCCCUGUCCUCUCUAUACAGUAAUGAGUAUAUUGAGAGGCCCCUCCCCUAUCCUCUCUAUACAGUAAUGAGUAUAUUGAGAGGCCCCUCCCCUAUCCUCUCUAUACAGUAAUUGGUAUAUUGGGAGGCCCCUCCCCUGUCCUCUCUAUACAGUAAUUGGUAUAUUGGGAGGCCCCUCCCAUGUCCUCUCUAUACAGUAAUGAGUAUAUUGGGAAGCCCCUCCCCUGUCCUCUCUAUACAGUAAUGAGUAUAUUGAGAGGCCCCUCCCCUGUCCUCUCUAUACAGUAAUGAGUAUAUUGAGAGGCCCCUCCCCUGUCCUCUCUAUACAGUAAUGAGUAUAUUGAGAGGCCCCUCCCCUGUCCUCUCUAUACAGUAAUGGGUAUAUUGGGAAGCCCCUCCCCUGUCCUCUCUAUACAGUAAUGAGUAUAUUGAGAGGCCCCUCCCCUGUCCUCUCUAUACAGUAAUGAGUAUAUUGGGAAGCCCUUCCCCUGUCCUCUCUAUACAGUAAUGGGUAUAUUGGGAAGCCCCUCCCCUGUCCUCUCUAUACAGUAAUUGGUAUAUUGGGAAGCCCCUCCCCUAUCCUCUCUAUACAGUAAUUGGUAUAUUGGGAAGCCCCUCCCCUGUCCUCUCAAUACAUUAAUGGGUAUAUUGGGAGGCCCCUCCCCUCAAUUUACACUAAUGAGUAUAUUGAGAGGCCCCUCCCCUAUCCUCUCUAUACAGUAAUUGGUAUAUUGGGAGGCCCCUCCCCUGUCCUCUCUAUACAGUAAUGAGUAUAUUGAGAGGCCACUCUCCUGUCCUCUCUAUACAGUCAUGAGUAUAUUGGGAGGCCCCUCCCCUCUCCUCUCUAUACAAUAAUGGUUAUAUUGGAAAGCCCAUCCCCUCACUGUACAGUAAUGGGAUUUAUGGAGAGCCCCUCCCCACAUAUAAUAUUUGAUAUAUUGCAGAGCCUAUGUUGGAGAGCCCCUCCCCUCCCCUCUAUAUACAAUAAUCGGUAUAUUGGAGCGCCCCUCCCCUUUCUAUACAGUAAUUGGUAUAUUGGAGAGUCCCUCCCCUUUCUAUACAGUAAUUGGUAUAUUGGAGAGUCCCUCCCCUUUCUAUACAGUAAUUGGUAUAUUGGAGAGUCCCUCCCCUUUCUCUACAGUAAUGGGUAUAUUGGAGAGUCCCUCCCCUUUCUAUACAGUAAUGGGUAUAUUGGAGAGCCCAUCCCCUUUCUAUACAGUAAUGGGUAUAUUGGAGAGCCCCUCCCCUUUCUAUACAGUAAUGGGUAUAUUGGAGAGCCCCUCCCCUCAUCUGCAUCUACCACAUAGUUCCUAAAGAGAGCAUAGAGCAGCCAGAGAGAACGUGCCUCCGUUUCAGCACGGAACAGUGGGUGCAGCAGUGAAUUAGGAGGUACAUUUUGUCUCAGAACAGGUGUUACAUCAAGUACUUGGACAACACUCUAUUUAAUAAAGAACAGAGCUGGAGCCAUGAUCAAGGCUGCUUUUGGUGGCUUGGUUUCCCAUCCAAGAUUCACCUGACAGAUGACGGACGUUCUGCAUGCUACUUGCCAAGAGCCAGAUUGUAUUAAUAGCAAAAAUGAAUCAAGUCAAGAACAGCUCUGCAGCUUUCACCCAGAAUAUUCCCCUGGAAAAUAUUCUCUUCUUUGAACCUGAUUCAACCUUGUAAUAAAUAAUUGUGCAGAUAGCUUCACCAAGACUCCAAUAUUACCAAGGCAACAAAUGACUCUUUAUCAAGGUAAUAUUUCCAUACUCCAGUAUUUCCAAUGCUUAGCUCAGGGCACUCAGAGUUUUCCUUCAUUAAUUUUAACAGUAUAAAGGCUAUGGAUAGUGAGCAAAUGAUGGCUAUGAGAAAAGGUCAGCGUUUCCCAAGCGUAUAUCAGUGUUGGCAUGCUCCUCUGCCCUCUGCUAGGUGCCAUUUGAAAGGCUUUUCUUGGCACAGAACCCUGCUAGACACCCCACCCCGCUUUGUGUCUGUUGGGAAACUGGAUGAGAACUUAAAUUGAAGUGGUCCAAAAAUACCAUAGAGAGUCCAUGUUUAAUUGCUUGGUAUUAUUGCAAUAUGCCCAUUCUCUGUGGUGCUGCUCUCCCCCCGGUCUCGGUAGGCAGCAAAGGGCUUAAUUGAAUUCCAGAAAAAUGUGAGCCUGUGUGUUUCCCCCAUCGUGGGGAAUCUAAAUGCAGCUCUCUCUGGUGUUUAGCCAUGGGGAGCUGUCCUUGGUGCUGGAAGGCUGGCUGACGUUCAAGAUUUGCAUUUAGCUGUACUGAGUACUCUGCUAAACUCAGGCACUCUCAGUGGAGGGAAACUUAGGUUCUGUACCAUGUCCAGUGGUUAGAUCUCUGUUAGCCUGCUACAAAUAGCAUGCCUGAACACCCGCAAAGUAACUUCAAACCGGUAAUGUUAGGGUAAUAUUAUUCCUUCAGAGGUUUAACAUGAUGCGCGUAUCAUUGAAGAGUACUAUUGCGGUUGACUUGAACAUAUUGCCUCAGUGGUGAACAAGCUCCCAGACCGUUAUAUUUCCGUUGUACCCAUAACAAUGAGACACAAUAUGUAGUGAAUUACUAAUAUCGUUGCCUUUAUGCACUUAACUUGUUUGAAAUGAAAAUGACUAAACAGUGACCAUUUAAAAUGGGCUUGGAUGCUAUGUGUAGAGCAUCAACAACAAGCCAUCGAAGGCAUUGUAAUAAGAGUCAUUCUUAUUAGAGCUUGGGUUAAUUAACUAACACAAGCAAUGCACUGUGCAGAUGCAGACCAGAGGAUUUGUUUUGUGGAGCUAAAUGAUUUUCAUCUCUGAGGUCAUGAUUGACUAUCAUUAGGCAGGCUUCGGCUCUGUCUGGAUUAAAGGCUUGUACUCUAUUUCGUGCAAGAGGCUUCAGUUAGACUUUCACUUCAUGAAAUGCAUAAGAUGUUAAGCACCAUGAAUUAGAUCAGGCCCAGCCUUUGGAUUCAUUAAUUGUAUAGAAAAGUAAUGUCAGAUCUAAUUAACCGCUCAUUAGCGGAUCAUAAAGGGCACUUGCACAAUUUUAUUGAAAUAUUGCUUCCACCAUUCAGCCCUAUGGUCAUUCUGCAGGGAGAGCAUGUAAACUUGAGGGGAGGGAAGCCAUACUGACAUGUAGCCCUCUAGGGAUGUGGGGUUUUGAGGGAGAAUUAUUUACAGUGACUGGAACUAUCACUUUUUAUGAGAGAAACUCAGAGAGCACGACUUGUCUGGAGGAUCCCACAGUACAGCUACAGAUUACCUAUAGAGUCAGGAUCUACCGGAGACUAUGGCUGGAGACCAGGUAAACAAACAUGAACUAAUACAGAUACCUGCAUCGAUAGGUUCCUUUCUCCCAUGAUCUUCACCACAGAGAGUAUAUUGUGCACUGCGGUGGUGGUGCUGUUUAGAAGUUAGUGGGUGAGGUCAUCCUAUUACUACCACUAGACCAAGACGAUAGGCUUUCUGAACUCUAGUGAUGGCCCUACAAAAGCAUAUAAUGGAGGUAAUUUUUUAAAUAUUUUUAUGUGAAUGGGCUCUUCUGUGAACCAAUCCAGUGAAGUGGACAAAUGCAUGAGAAGGACGACUAGAAUGUAUCUGGGUUUUAAUGGGGAUCUCUAUUAAUGCACCCUUCAAUUUAUAUUGAAAUUCUUCCAUGGAAUUAUUUUCUCUCUGACACUAUAUCCAAUCUAAAGCAAUUUAGUUUCUCUUUUUGGACUGGAGUUUGAAAAUCAUUCUUAACAUGUAAAUUUUGUCUAAUAAUAAUUUAAUGGAAAGAGAAGGGAAUCUCACCUGAGAAAUCCAAAGAUUCCUGAACCAGUAUUAUUAACAGAUCAACAGUAUUUACAGUAUGUCAAGUGACAUCAAUAUCAUGUUAAAUGAAGAGUUAUGUACAAAAUAGCACUAUAACUCAUAUCAAAUGUAUGAGUCCAACAAAAAAGUCCCCAUUAGUUUCCUCUGUAUUUAAAAAUUGCAGACGUGGUCUGCAGUGUAAGGGUGGCUGAGACGGAUACCUCCCUGAAUUAGGGCAUUAAAUGAAUGGGGAUUUUGGCAAUGGCAGUCAUGUUUUCCCAGAGUAAAUGAUGUCUGAGUUUCUCUUGGGUCAAAGACUCCCAGCAGCUAAUUAAUAGUGCCUGUUUUAAAAGCUACACAAUAAAAUUGAAGUAAUUUACUGUUCCAAUCACUGGCUGUAAAGUCUUGGAGCCAGCAAGCAGAUCCCAAUCCACAUGUUGACACGUGAAACAGAUGCAGUAUGUCCAGUAGAGAAAUAUGCUGACUUAACCACAAUGAACCAACCGACUACAGAGAACAAAGAGAGCUGAACCACUGAAUCAACCAACUACAGAGAGCUGAAGCACUGAACCAACUGACUACAGAGAACAAAGAGAGCUGAACCACUGAACCAACUGACUACAGAGAACAGAGAGAGCUGAAGCACUGAACCAACUGACUACAGAGAACAAAGAGAGCUGAACCGCUGAACCAACUGACUACAGAGAAAAGAGAGAGCUGACUGAAGUGGUUUUCUACAUUUUGUUAUGUUACAGCCUUUUUCUAAAAUGGUUUAAAUGAAAAAAAAUCCUCAUCAAUCUACGCACAUUACCCCAUAAUGACAAAGCGAAAACUGUUUAGGCAUUUCUGAAAAUGUCUUAACAAUAAAAAAACUGAAAUAUCUUAUUCAUAUAAGUAUUCCGACCCUUUGCUUUGAGACUCAAAAUUAGCUUAGGUGCAUUCUGUUUCCAUUGAUCAUCCUUAACUGGACUCCACCUGUGGUAUAUUCAAUUGACUGGACAUGAUUUUGAAAGGCACAUACCUGUCUAUAUAAGGUCCCACAUUUGGCAGUGCUUGUCAGAGCAAAAACCAAGCUAUGAGGUUGAAGGAAUUGUCCUUAGAGCUACGAUACAGGACUGUGUUGAGGCAUAGAUCUGGGGAAGGGUACCAAAAAACGUUCUGCAGAGUUGAAGGUCCCAAAGAACACAGUGGCCUCCAUCCUUCUUAAAUGGAAGAAGUUUGGAACCACCAAGACUUUUACUAGAGCUGGCCCCCCGGCCAAAUUGAGCAAUUGGGGGAGAAGGGCCUUCAUCAGGGAGGUGACAAAGAACCCGAUGGUCACUCUGACAGAGCUCCAGAGUUCCUCUGUGGAGAUGGAAGAACCUUCUAGAAGGACAACCAUCUCUGUAGCACUCCACCAAUCAGGCCUUUAUGGUAGAUUGGCCAGACGGAAGCCACUCCUCAGUAAAAGGCACAUGACAGCCCUCUUGGAGUUUCUCAGACCAUGAGAAACAACAGGCUCUGGUCUGAUGAAACCAAGAUGAAACUCUUUGGCCUGAAUGCCAAGCGUCAUGUCUGGAGGAAACCUGGCACCAUCCCUACGGUGAACCAUGGUGGUGGCAGCAUCAUGCUGUGGGGAUGUUUUUCAGCGGCAGGGACUGGGAGACUAGUCAGGUUUGAGGGAAAUAUGAACGGAGCAAAUACAGAGGUAUCCUUGAUGAAAACCUGCUCCAGAGUGCUCAGGACCUCAGACUGGGGCGAAGGUUUACCUUCCAACAGGACAACGACCCUAAGAACACAGCCAAGACAAUGCAGGAGUGGCUUCGGGACAAGUCUCUGAAUGUCCUUGAGUGGCCCAGCCAGAGCCCGGACUUGAAGUCGAUCAAACAUCUCUGGAGAGACCUGAUAAUAUUUGUGCAGCAACGCUCGCCAUCCAACCUGACAGAGCUUGAGAGAAUCUGCAGAGAAGAAUGGGAGAACCCUCCCCCAAAUACAGGUGCGCCAAGCUUGUAGCGUCAUACCCAAGAAGACUUGAGGCUGUAAUCGCUGCCAAAGGUGCUUCAACAAAGUACUGAGUAAAGGGUCUGAAUACUUAUGUAAAUGUCUUAUUUCAGUUUUUUAUAUGCAUUUACAAAAAAUAAACAGUUUUUGUCUUAUUAUUAUGUGGUAUUGUGUGUAGAUUGAUAAAGAAGAAAAACAACAAUUUAAUCCAUUUUAGAAUAAGAAUGUAACAUAACAAAAUGUGGAAAAAGUGAAUACUUUGUAUAUUCUCUGUGUGAGGCACAAUACGUUUUUAAGUAUCCUGACCUCCUCGGAAUUUAGCUUUGAGCGCCUCUGCAGUCCUAAAAUUGUUAAUUAAUGUUACAAUUGCAGGGGUGCAUUGUUUUAAGGACAUACACAAGAACAUGAAUUCAGCUCUGGUGCUGGUCUUCAGUGAACUGAUAAUUGCCUCUAAAGACAACCUCUGAACUGUAGAAACUUGGAGUGGAGACAUCUUACAUAAUUUUAAAUGAUAGGUUUCUGACCUGAUUUGUGUCUUAUCAGAUUGCUAAAACAGAAGAGUAUCAAGGCACAAGGCGAGACCCAGAUGCAGACACAGGAGGCAGAUGGUUGGAGUCUUAAAAUGUUUAUUAAUCCAAAGGGGUAGGCAAGAGAAUGGUCGUGGACAGGCAAACGGUCAAAACCAGAUCAGAGUCCAGGAGGUAUAGAGCGGCAGGCAGGCUUGAGGUCAAGGCAGGCAGAAUGGUCAGGCAAGCGGGUACAAAGUCCAGAAACAGGCAAGGGUCAAAACCGGGAGGACUAGAAAAAAGAGAAUGCAAAAAGCUGGAGAACGGGAAAAACACUGGUUGACUUGGAAAACAUACAAGACGAACUGGCACAGAGAGACAGGAAACACAGGGAUAAAUGGGGGGGCCAGGACAGAGUUUGGUAAACCCUGGUCUAAGUGCCUAUGUCACAUAUCUAUACAUCACAUACAAGCAUUUCACUACACCCGCAAUAACAUGUGCUAAACGUGUAUGCAACAAAUAAAAUGUUAUUUGAUUUGAACAUAACUUGGGUGUCAAACAAGGCUGUCUCCUUUACCCUCUCAACAUACUUUAAAUGAAUGUGUCUUAUCCCUUGAGACCACCACCAUGAUACCCUGAUUAAAGUUGGGUUUUGAUUGAGAAAUCCCAAAUUCUACUUGACCUGAAGGGGUAUAUUAAUAAGCGUCAAAUGAUCGACAGAUCACUCUGUAAUAAUGCCCCCUAGCAGUAAUAUCAAAUAAGAUAAGGUUAUGCAAAUAGAUCUAAGAUUGAUUGAGAUUUCACUCAAUUAUUGAGGCCCCAGGAGAUAUGGAGGAGUACAUUACCAGAAACCAAGGUAACCGUCAGACCACCUUGUCCUCAUCCCAACCCCUGAACCGCCAGGUGGAAAAAAGAACUGUUGGUCUUCCCUGUUCCCUAUUCCCCUCCAAAACAGAAUAGAAAAUAAGCACUUCUAAGCCUCCGCUACACGGCUUGAAAACUGAAUGUGUUGUUGAGUGCCGGACUGAGUUGGCCCCGGCACAACACAGGAGAUCUCGGUGUUCCUGCUGAGUUCAUUUGGUCCCUGAGCGUCAAUACAUUCCAACACUGUGAUGCACUUUUCAGUUUAUGCCUCUCAUUGUAGUCAUCUACUCAGCAGCCCUGAGGCCCCCGUUGAUAUAUGGGAUCUUAAGUGUUAUUGACUUGUCUCUCUUCUUUUGUUCUUAUGAACGCAAAUCUCAGUCAAAACUAGCCUUAAUGUACCAUAGCAAAGCAUCCAAGAAUAAGUUUUGCUCUUAUCUUGAAAUUGUCUUAUUUUUAUU
rnacentral:lncRNA from 1 species